rnacentral:rRNA from 1 species
AAAAUAAUUUUAAGUCUAAUCUGCUCAAUGAAUAAUUUUAAAUAGCUGCAGUAUAAAUAACUGUACAAAGGUAGCAUAAUAAUUUGUUUUUUAAUUGAAAACUAGAAUGAAUGAUUAAAUGAAAUAUAAACUAUAUCAAAUUUAAAAAAUAAAUUUAUUAUUUAAAUAAAAAAAUUUAAAUA